AGGGUAGGUGACAACCAUAGACGUAAUAUUACAUCUAUGGUGCAACUGAGUUUUUCAAAUAUAAAAAAGCAUUAUCAUUGGGUACCUACCAAAUAAAUUUGUCAGUAAUAUUAGAUAUUGCCUUCUAACCUAACGUAGUGCCUUCUAAUACAAUGUUAUAUAUUAUCAAAUACCUAAGUUAUGCCUACUGUGUGAUUAACUCUCACGUGUAUUUGGUGGUACUCAUGCGUAUUCAAUUUUAUGAAUGUCCCUGAGCGGGGAUCCAGCCCGCGACCUGCAGGGCAGCAAUCGAUGCGAGCCACCAAUUCUCCAUACGUGUCUUCAGAGUCACAGCAAAAGGGAAGUGAUCGACGUACCUACUAUAAUGAAAAACUGACCAUCCAUUUUCAUCGUUAUUGAAACAAUUUCCCGCAAAUGGUGAUACAGACAUGAACAACCAGCUUUACGACUCGUUUUGGAAGAAUUGAUUGCAGCUUUGCUAUUUAACAUACAAUAAAACAAUAAAGUGUUUAACAA